AGCCUGAAGAGGAGUCGCCCCAGCCCCGCACCCCCCCUAGGGAGCUCCGGGCCCUGGGCCUGUUUCGGGAGCCCCCUGGCAGUCAAGAGGACGAGGAGGAGCCGGGACUGGUGGAGGGUGACCCGGGGGACGGCGCCAUUGAGGACCCGGAGCUGGAAACUAUCAAAGCUCGAGCCAGGGAGAUGGAGGAAGAAGCUGAGAAGCUGAAGGAACUACAGAACGGGGUAGAGAAGCAGAUGAACUGAGUCCGCCUCCAGGCAGUGCGGGCCCGGGGAUCAUGUCCAUUGAGGAGAAGCUGCAGGCUGACGCCCGUCCCGUCUAUGUUGGCAGUGUGGACUAUGGUGCAACAGCAGAAGAGCUGGAAGCUCACUUCCGUGGCUGUGGUUCAGUCAACCGUGUGACCAUACUCUGUGACAAAUUUAGUGGCCAUCCCAAAGGCUUUGCAUAUAUAGAGUUCUCAGACAAAGAGUCAGUGAGGACUUCCUUGGCCUUAGAUGAGUCCCUAUGUAGAGGACGGCAAAUCAAGGUGAUCCCAAAACGGACCAACAGAUCAGGCAUCAGCACAACAGACGGAGGUCUUCCACGAGCCCCUGCCGCGCGGACCACCCACCGCAACAGCUCCCGCUCUGCAUUCUACAGUGGUUUUAACAGCAGGCCCGGGGGCGUGUCUACAGGGGCCGGCCUAGAGCGACAUCAUGGCAUUCCCCUUACUAAAAAAAGUGUGUAUUAGGAGGAGAGAGA